AACGAACGCUGGCGGCAUGCCUAACACAUGCAAGUUGAGCGAGAACCGAAGAGCUUGCUUUUCGGGGAAAGCAGCGCACGGGUGAGUAACGCGUGGGUAACGUGCCCUGGGGUUGGGGAUAACUCACCGAAAGGUGAGCUAAUACCGAAUGUGUUCCUAUUAAGUGAGCUUUUUAGGAAGAAAGCGGGGCAACCCGCGCCCGAGGAUCGGCCCGCGUUCCAUCAGUUUGUUGGUGGGGUAAUGGCCUACCAAGACUACGACGGAUAGCUGGUCUGAGAGGAUGAUCAGCCACACUGGGACUGAGACACGGCCCAGACUCCUACGGGAGGCAGCAGUGGGGAAUAUUGGUCAAUGGGCGAAAGCCUGAACCAGCAAUGCCGCGUGAGUGAUGAAGGCCUUCGGGUUGUAAAGCUCUGUCAGUGGGAACGAAUAAGCCGAUUAAUACCCGGUGAUGACGGUACCCACAAAGGAAGCACCGGCUAACUCUGUG
rnacentral:rRNA from 1 species